UACCAUACACCUCAUUCAUCACCAUACCUUUCUCUACAAAGUCAUUUCACUUCAAUAAAGGAUCUAUCUUUUCCCUCACUUAGCAUCUUCGAUCAAUCUCAUUUCUCCCUCAAGUUACUCUCUAGUUCCAACAAACCCAAAGAAAUCCAAGUGCAGAGCUCAGCCAUAUUGCGAAUGGAUCAAAUUGCCACAAAACUCAGAUUUCAGCAACUCAAACCAGAGGCUUUGAGCAACAGGAGGAUUAGCAUUGCUAUUCCGAUUCAGAGAUAAGGAUAAACGACAGGCUUUGCCUAAUCAGGUUGAGCAGUUGAUGGAAUGGAAUGAUGUUGAGCGGGUGUUCCUUUGACAUUUCAAGAAAUGUAACCUUGAGUAUACAUCUUCAUAUGUAUAUCUCACACGUUUUCCGCUGCAAAACACUUUGAUUAGGAUAACUUUAUGUUAUGAAAUUGUGACACGUGUUAUUGGGUAACCCACCUUAAUCAGUUCUCAUUUAUGUGUAUGUUUUAUAAGUAUCCAAAUAAUCAUAUAUGAUCCUAGCAUUUUAUCUAUGAGUGACAUUUCCAUAUACUUUAAUGUUAAGUAAUUGUCCAUUUCCAUUUCUUAUUGUUCACCCCAAGUCAUAACCCCUGUUAACCCGUCAUUGGGAUAGUGGGCUGUGACAGAGUGGUAUCAGAGCGGUUCGUUCGCUCUGGCCCUAGAAACCUUAUUCUAAAGAGUCGAGUCUAGUUUGAUUCUUUAGACUUACACGGGUUCAUAUGGCACCGCUCAACACUCCAUUGCAUCGUGCUCAAUCAAGGAAAGAAGGUUGAGCAGUUGAUGGAAUGGAAUGAUGUUGAGCGGGUGUUCCUUUGACAUUUCAAGAAAUGUAACCUUGAGUAUACAUCUUCAUAUGUAUAUCUCACACGUUUUCCGCUGCAAAACACUUUGAUUAGGAUAACUUUAUGUUAUGAAAUUGUGACACGUGUUAUUGGGUAACCCACCUUAAUCAGUUCUCAUUUAUGUGUAUGUUUUAUAAGUAUCCAAAUAAUCAUAUAUGAUCCUAGCAUUUUAUCUAUGAGUGACAUUUCCAUAUACUUUAAUGUUAA